rnacentral:misc_RNA from 1 species
AAAGGUGGGUAGCUCAGCC